rnacentral:RNase_P_RNA from 2 species
GUUUUCAGACGCAUUGGAAGCUGAGUUUAAGUUUAGGAUAUAGAGGAAAGUCCGGACACCAUAGUGCGGCAUAGCGGGUAACUCCCGUCACCAUACUUUUUUAGGUAUGGGCGGACAAGUGCAACAGAAAGCAAGUACAGUUAGGCUGUAGUGAAAUCAGGUAAACUCUAUGUGGUGAAACGUCAUGUAAACCAAUGCCCUGAUGAUUCAGGAUAGGGCGGCACGUCCAAGUUGGAGGGUAGGCGGCUAGAGCCAUUGGGCAACCAAUGGUCCAGAUAAAUGAUAAGACGGUUCACUUAGGUGAAUGGAACAGAAUCCGGCUUAUGGUCUGCUAUAAAAC